UGCAUAUUUUAAAAUAUUAUUGCCAAAAAUUUCAAAAUGAUUAUUUGCCUAGAAUUACACUUUAUUUCUUUCACUAUUCUAUUUCUUUAUGUUUUAUUUAAAAAAAAAUUUAAGAAAAGAAAAAAGACUGUAUGGUUAUGGUUAGUGUUACAUAAACAGUAGAUAAAGGUUUUAUAUCAUCACAUCACAUAUGAUGUUUGUAACACACGUCACUUUCUAAAAAACAGCAAACAAAGAUCAAGAUUGAAAGACGGAGAAAAGCAUCAUGGGCAAGAUUGUUUUGCUUUUAAACUUUUCUGUAGUUGUGAGCUCCUUGAGCUGAGACUAUUUUCAACAGCAUCUUUUUAUCAUUUCACAGGCUCAAGUGACUGAUAAAACGGAGGAGUGACAAAGAGAGUGAAGAGGCACAAAGAAAACUUGAGAAAUGACUGGGAGAACGACACUCUGAAGGAUCUCAGUGCUAUAAAGAUCCAUUUUAUCAGUCUAUCUGCUGCUGCGUCCUCUUUCUGUCCUCGUUCACUCUCGUGCUGAAGUGGAAAUCAUGGUCAGCAUCCCCAUCUGUGUGUGCUGAGGAUCAGAGCUGUGAUCGAGACAAAUUCCCUUUCGUCUCUCAUCUUCUGAUGAUGCAAUUUCUCCAUGACACAAAGAGCCUUCAGUUUUCAUCAAGAGAUCUUUCACUCCGUGAGGAGCUAUUGUUGUACGACAUGACAGCAACAGGAGAAGGAAGAGGAGAUGACACCUCAUCUGCAGAUGAAUAAUUAACAGAUUGAUCAAAGGCUCAUCAGAAUGUCAUAUUAGGAUCCUUAAAAGCAACUUGAUCCUCUUGAUAGCGGCUGCAGUGAGAUCACAUCCCUCUGCUUCAUCUCACGUUGUUUCCUGCCUUUGCAGACUUUGACUUUGAAAGUUCAGAAAUGCAGCAUUAGGAUUCUCAGCCCAUCCGCUUCACGAAUGAGACGAGAGCGUGCGCAUGUAUAAGUGGAAAUGUGUGUGUGUGAACUGGUUUUACUAUUCUCAACAACUUUAUUAUUCUUUUUUUUUUUUAUUGACUUGAUAAUGUCCAGAAAAUAAGUAUUUAUUAAUAACUUCUAAAUGUACUUCCAGUGGACCCUAAAUCAAAAUUCAAGGUGACUUUUAAAAUGAAGAAUGUAUUUUAUUGUAGUACUAUCAAUGUAUUUUUUUAAUAAUUCAGCUUAAUUUAGUUAAUUUCAGUUU